rnacentral:rRNA from 1 species
GCUUACGGCCAUACCACCUUAGGCACGCCCGAUCUCGUCUGAUCUCGGAAGCUAAGCAGGGUCGGGCCUGGUUAGUACUUGGAUGGGUGACCGCCUGGGAAUACCAGGUGCUAUAAGCA